rnacentral:rRNA from 1 species
UACGUAGGGUGCAGGCGUUAAUCGGAAUUACUGGGCGUAAAGCGUGCGCAGGCGGUUGUGCAAGACCGAUGUGAAAUCCCCGGGCUCAACCUGGGAAUGGCAUUGGUGACUGCACGGCUAGAGUGUGUCAGAGGGGGGUAGAAUUCCACGUGUAGCAGUGAAAUGCGUAGAGAUGUGGAGGAAUACCGAUGGCGAAGGCAGCCCCCUGGGAUAACACUGACGCUCAUGCACGAAAGCGUGGGGAGCAAACAGG